CGGUCUGUCUGUCGUUCCGUAUUAAGUGUCCGCUCUCUAAUUCAAGUAGUUUUCAUCCGAUCUUCACCAAACUUGGUCAGAAGUUGUAUCUACAUGAUGUCUAGGCCAAGUUUGAACAUGGGCCUUGCCAGGUCAAAAACUAGGUCACGGGGUCACUUAGUGCGUUUUAAACAUUCAGCAUGUUGUCCGCUCUCUAAUUCAAGUAGUUUUCAUCCGAUCUUCACCAAACUUGGUCAGAAGUUGUAUCUAGAUGAUCUUAAGGCCAAGUUCGAACAUGGGCCUUGCCGGGUCAAAAACUAGGUCAUGGCGUCACUUAGUGCGUUUUUUAACAUUCAGCAUGGUGUCCUCUCUCUUAUUAACUUAUCUAUUUUUUGAAAAAAAAUUAUGAGCUAUUGUCAUCACCUUGGCGUCGGCGUCUGCGUCGGCGUCCGGUUAAGUUUUGCGUUUAGGUCCACUUUUCUCAGAAAGUAUCAAUGCUAUUGCAUUCAAACUUGGUACACU